AGCGAACGCUGGCGGCAGGCCUAACACAUGCAAGUCGAACGAACUCUUCGGAGUUAGUGGCGGACGGGUGAGUAACACGUGGGAACGUGCCUUUUGGUUCGGAAUAACUCAGGGAAACUUGUGCUAAUACCGAAUGUGCCCUUCGGGGGAAAGAUUUAUCGCCAUUAGAGCGGCCCGCGUCUGAUUAGCUAGUUGGUGAGGUAACGGCUCACCAAGGCGACGAUCAGUAGCUGGUCAGAGAGGAUGACCAGCCACACUGGGACUGAGACACGGCCCAGACUCCUACGGGAGGCAGCAGUGGGGAAUCUUGCGCAAUGGGCGAAAGCCUGACGCAGCCAUGCCGCGUGAAUGAUGAAGGUCUUAGGAUUGUAAAAUUCUUUCAACGGGGACGAUAAUGACGGUACCCGGAGAAGAAGCCCCGGCUAACUUCGUG
rnacentral:rRNA from 1 species